CAUCGCUUCAUCUAACUCCUA
rnacentral:siRNA from 1 species